rnacentral:rRNA from 1 species
GACGAACGCUGGCGGCGUGCUUAACACAUGCAAGUCGAACGGAAAGGCCCUGCUUUUGUGGGGUUCUCGAGUGGCGAACGGGGGAGUAACACGUGAGUAACCUGCCCUUGACUUUGGGAUAACUUCAGGAAACUGGGGCUAAUACCGGAUAGGAGCUCCUGCUGCAUGGUGGGGGUUGGAAAGUUUCGGCGGUUGGGGAUGGACUCGCGGCUGAUCAGCUUGUUGGUGGGGUAGUGGCUUACCAAGGCUUUGACGGGUAGCCGGCCUGAGAGGGUGACCGGCCACCUUGGGACUAAGAUAGGGCCCAGACGCCUACGGGAGGCAGCAGUGGGGAACAUUGCACAAUGGGCGCAAGCCUGAUGAAGCAACGCCGCGUGCGGGAUGACGGCCUUCGGGUUGUAAAACGCUUUCGCCUGUGACGAAGCGUGAGUGACGGUAAUGGGUAAAGAAGCACCGGCUAACUACGUG